rnacentral:rRNA from 1 species
ACCUUGUGAACCGUACCAAACUAUUCAGGGGUCGGCUUGUCCGUUAAAUGGUCGUCGGACGCGAGAGAUCGCGGCCGCUCGACCGGCCCCGCACGCGUUUUGUUUUUUUAUAAACAUAUGUGUACCUGUCUGACCAAGCGUUGCGGCCGGCCCAAGGGUCGGUCGCGGCAAUUAGAGCAAAAAACGAGAUACAACUUUUGACGGGGGAUCUCUUGGCUCACGCAUCGAUGAAGAACGCAGCCAGCUGCGAUAAGUAGUGUGAAUUGCAGAAUUCAGUGAAUCAUCAAAUCUUUGAACGCAAAUGGCGCUCUUGGGUUCUCCCAGGAGCAUGUCUGUCUGAGUGUCGGAUAUCAUCCAACGCACGCCAGCGUGCGGAAUUGAGGCGUCACGGUCCGUACUGCACGGACCGUGUCCCUUGAAAGUCAGAGAGACUCGCCGCGUCGCGGGAAGAUUCCCCGUGCACACCAGCGGAGGCUAAAAUGUCUUUUGCCCUUCGCGUGCCGGGAAGUCGCCGCGUGCGGCGGUCGUCGUCGGGCGAUCUUUAAUUAUCUUGACCUCAAAUCAGCCUAGGGUUACCCGGGUAAUUUAAC